UGGCUCAGGACGAACGCUGGCGGCGUGCCUAAUACAUGCAAGUCGAACGGUCUUUUCUAUGGAAGCUUGCUUCCACUGAGAAGAUAGUGGCGAACGGGUGAGUAACACGUGGGUAACCUGCCCAUAAGAGGGGGGAUAACAUCCGGAAACGGGUGCUAAUACCGCAUAGUUUUCUUGAUCGCAUGAUCGGGAAAGGAAAGACGGCCUUUGUGCUGUCGCUUAUGGAUGGACCCGCGGCGUAUUAGUUAGUUGGUGAGGUAACGGCUCACCAAGACGAUGAUACGUAGCCGACCUGAGAGGGUGAUCGGCCACAUUGGGACUGAGACACGGCCCAAACUCCUACGGGAGGCAGCAGUAGGGAAUCUUCCGCAAUGGACGAAAGUCUGACGGAGCAACGCCGCGUGAGUGAAGAAAAGGUUUUCGGAUCGUAAAACUCUGUUGUCAGAGAAGAACAAGUUGGAGAGUAACUGCUCCAGCCUUGACGGUAUCUGACCAGAAAGCCACGGCUAACUACGUGCCAGCCGCUGC
rnacentral:rRNA from 1 species